AGCCCUCUGUAUUCAUGCUGAGACUUCGUGACACACCAGACCACAAGGGCUGAUGAGACUUUCAAGAUAAGUGAAGCG
rnacentral:pre_miRNA from 1 species